rnacentral:rRNA from 1 species
GAUGAACGCUGGCGGCGUGCCUAAUACAUGCAAGUCGAGCGAACGGACGAGAAGCUUGCUUUUUUGAUGUUAGCGGCGGACGGGUGAGUAACACGUGGAUAACCUACUUAUAUUACUGGGAUAACUUCGGGAAACCGGAGCUAAUACCAGAUAAUAUUUUGAACCGCAUGGUUCAAAAGUGAUAGACGGUCUUGCUGUCACUUAUAGCUGGUUCCGCGCUGCAUUAGCUAGUUGGUAAGGUAACGGCCUACCAAGGCAACGAUGCAUAGCCGAACUGAGAGGAUGAUCGGCCACACUGGAACUGAGACACGGUCCAGACUCCUACGGGAGGCAGCAGUAGGGAAUCUUCCGCAAUGGGCGAAAGCCUGACGGAGCAAGGCCGCGUGAGUGAUGAAGGUCUUCGGAUCGUAAAACUCUGUUAUUAGGGAAGAACAGAUGUGUAAGUAACUGUGCACGUCUUGACGGUACCUAAUCAGAAAGCAACGGCUAACUACGUG